AGAGUUUGAUCAUGGCUCAGGAUGAACGCUGGCGGCGUGCCUAACACAUGCAAGUCGAGCGAUUCUCUUCGGAGAAGAGCGGCGGACGGGUGAGUAACGCGUGGGUAACCUGCCCUAUACACACGGAUAACGUACCGAAAGGUACGCUAAUACGAGAUAAUAUGCUUUAGUCGCAUGGCUGAAGUAUCAAAGCUCCGGCGGUAUAGGAUGGACCCGCGUCUGAUUAGCUAGUUGGUAAGGUAAUGGCUUACCAAGGCGACGAUCAGUAGCCGACCUGAGAGGGUGAUCGGCCACAUUGGAACUGAGACACGGUCCAAACUCCUACGGGAGGCAGCAGUGGGGAAUAUUGCACAAUGGGCGAAAGCCUGAUGCCAGCAACGCCGCGUGAGCGAUGAAGGCCUUCGGGUCGUAAAGCUCUGUCCUCAAGGAAGAUAAUGACGGUACUUGAGGAGGAAGCCCCGGCUAACUACGUGCCAGCCGCGGC
rnacentral:rRNA from 1 species